rnacentral:rRNA from 1 species
GAUGAACGCUGGCGGCGUGCCUAAUACAUGCAAGUCGAGCGAACGGCCGAGAAGCUUGCUUCUCUGAUGUUAGCGGCGGACGGGUGAGUAACACGUGGAUAACCUACCUAUAAGACUGGGAUAACUUCGGGAAACCGGAGCUAAUACCGGAUAAUAUUUUGAACCGCAUGGUUCAAAAGUGAAAGACGGUCUUGCUGUCACUUAUAGAUGGAUCCGCGCUGCAUUAGCUAGUUGGUAAGGUAACGGCUUACCAAGGCAACGAUGCAUAGCCGACCUGAGAGGGUGAUCGGCCACACUGGAACUGAGACACGGUCAAGACUCCUACGGGAGGCAGCAGUAGGGAAUCUUCCGCAAUGGGCGAAAGCCUGACGGAGCAACGCGGCGUGAGUGAUGAAGGUCUCCGGUUCGUAAAACUCUGUUAUUAGGGAAGAACAUAUGUGUAAGUAACUGUGCACAGCUUGACGGUACCUAAUCAGAAAGCCACGGCUAACUACGUG